ACAAAUCUUAAUACAUCUCAGUAGCAGUGAUUUGCUUUUCUAUGCAAGCUGCAAUAUUAUGACCUUCUUAAUAUUCAUUUUUUUGUCCUGUAAUCUAGAAAAAAGCAAGCAAUUCUAACUAUCGUUUCGCAUAAGGGCUGCGUGCUUAUAGGUGUUUAUUAUACGUUGCAGAGGUAAAAGUCUGACUAGGCAGAAAGAACUUCAACAGAAACAGAGCGCAGUAUAAACAAACAAAACUCUGUUAUUAUUAAACAAACAGACGAAACAGUGUGUAUAUAAACAGAUGCACCUAUGAUAAGGUCGGUGAUCACAGUGCUAUAGCGAUACUGGUGUGCAGCGUGUGAUGAUUAAACGAGAUUUUAUCAACAAGAUCUUCAGUGGCAGCUUUGUGUGUUUGUACUAAUGUCUAAACAGAUGAUAUAUAUGAAACGCUUCCAUUGGUAUCGGUUUGCUUACUUAAUUAUUCUCUGUACUUUAGCAAUGCGGUAUGACAUCAACUGGCGUGAGAUUUAUGGCUAAGUAUCCGAGCAUCAACAUCUCUUGCAAACGAUAGUUAACCGAAUUACGACCUACUGAUGGGUCAAGGUUUUGCAAGAUGAUUGUUUAAAAACUAAGUAGUACGCUGAUCUGACGCUAUAAUCCUGUAUUGCGUAUUUGUCGUAUUAUAUGAUAUUGCGGUACGUAGAAUCACACAUUUUAAUCGAACGACAACAGGGAACUGCUAAAUAGGAAUACUUCACGGUCUUAGUCUUGCCGUCUUCACUAAACCCAUAAGAUUAGAAGAUGGCCAGAUUAACACUGUAAAUUAUGCAUAAAUUGCAAAUGACAAGGAACAAAACAGGAUAGCACACGACGAAUAAAAAGAGUCCAACAUAAAAAAUCAUCGGAAAUUAAUUCCCAAAUCCUUGAUAAAAUAUAUAUUCAGAAAAAGCCCUCUUCAGAUAGCUUAUCUUCAAAGGCUGUCAUCUGCGUACCUUUGCAUCCCUGUCUAUUCGGUACUUUUCUGCCUUAUUGUAAUAAAGUGUUGAUAGGUCAGUGAAGACGAGUUCAUCUUAAUUACAGUUCGAGCCCCGUGCAUUGUUCCAGCAAAAGCUAUUCGUCAAGUUAUAUCUUGAGAAAAUAUUUUGUCCCAUUCUUGUUUGAUACGGAUACAGGAAUGGCAUAGGUCCAUGACAGCUUGGCUGAGGGCCGCAGGACAUUUGCAGACAGGAUGGAGCCUGAUGGAAACCCGCCGGAAGUGCCUUGAAGGGAUUUCCGCUACUGAGGUGACUAGGGCGACAGGACUCGCAGACUCAAGCGAAAUAAUAUAGUUGCAGAGCAAAGGGAUGCUUCACAGACGCUAAUCAGUUUUGAAAUCACCGAUGUUCCGCGCAAAGGCAGCACAAGUGCCAGCCAAGAAAGUCGACAUCGAGGCUUACAUGGCUUCACUCGGUACUAGCCCCGCUAACUCGACCCCCGAAGAUGCUCAAUGUGCUUCUGUCAAAGAAGGUGAAAAGGAACAAAUGCCUCAGAACUGGAGAUCGAGCGUCUCAUCGGACCGAAACGUAAGGGCAUUGCCUUGUGCAAAAUGUGAGCAGAAUAGGUCACGUGUUACAGUACAGACCUAUGAAACCGACGCCUGAGAACUAUUACCGCAAAGGAACGUGCCAGUUGAUAGCAGUCAGCUUCAACUUUAUUUUUCAUUCGUCGUGAGAUACGCAUCGCAGUAGUCAGAGUAUGAAACGAUUGGCCUUUUUUAUAUUGUCCUUUGCUAGGCGAAAAUACAAAAAAAAACUUCGCGACUGCAGGAAAUAAAUCAUGUUUUUGCA